UUUGAACUCACAAUUUCAUUUAUAUCAAAGUAUACAAGUCACACAAACAUAGUCCAUCAUACACUCAGGAUCAAGGUAAGUCACACUAUGAACGUCACAAGUGAAUAAAUUCAUAAACGGAUCUAGGAUCUGUUCUACUUGGGUCUUGUCUGAUGUACUUGUAAUGACCAAAAUUUGCUCGGCCCAUAAAUAAAUAAAUAAAAACAAAUAAAAACAAAAAAAUAAUAGUUUUUAUACAGUCCAUGUACAAAGCCCAAGACCCGAUUACAUUUUUAGCCCAAAACCCUAUACUCGGUUACACUCUAAGUCCUUAGCCCAUUACACCCAACCCACAAACAGGUACGGCCCAAAUGGCCCAAUUUGUUAACAGAAGAUGGAAAGGCCUAGGGUUUCAGAAACCCUAGGCGCCGCAAACAUCUCAACAGACACGCCUCUUCCCGUGACUCCGGCCUCGAAUCGUGCCAUAAUCAACGCGUAAAUCAACGCCAGCAUCAUCGCCCCAAUUAGUGCACCAUUGAAUUGUCAUCAGCGCCCGAUUUUCACUGUUCAUCGCCCGAUUUUUCGUUAUUACCUGCAAAAGAGGAAAGAAAAACAGCAGCAAAUAUGGCAAGAAAAUAAAAUCACAGAUUGUAAAUUUGUUUUUAGUGGCUAUAAAAGCCCGAAUCAAGAAAAUGUAAAGGGGAUUUUUGCUAUAUACAUGGAUUCAAUAAAAAAAACAGUUAUAUAUAGAUAUUCGCAAGAAAAGAAACAUCAACAGAGUAUCGAAAAGAUAGAGGUGAAUCUUUUACCCUUUUUAUGAUCAUUUUUUUGACAUAAGUAAAUAAAAAUAUCGCUAAAAAGAAGAGGAGGGGCUUACCGAUGGAUUCGCACUGAAAAAUGAAGCCUUUCGGCUUCUGGCCUCCAUAUUCGGCAGAGUUAGCGACGGCGCGUGGGCGCGUGUCCCCAACAACCAGGGCUUGGCCUGACGGAGGCCGGAGCCCGGAGAACUCUCCCCAUUUCUCCUCUUUCAGAGGAUUUUCCUUUCUUUUUUUUUAAAACCGGGUUGUAAAACGAUUUCAAAGUUGAAAUUUGGCUUAUAUAGCCCUAACGAAAGGUG
rnacentral:lncRNA from 1 species